UCCUCCUAAAAUGGCUACAAGGCCAGUGGCUCGAGACCCGCCAGGCGCGCGUUCCCUACAGCCGCGCAGCGACGGCUCCUGAAGCUCGCGGGCCCCUCUAGCCGCCGUCGCCUCUAUGGUGGGCAGCCUUCUGCGCCGGGCGGGGGCGCCAGCUAUGCGGUUAGCCUCGGGGAAAUGCCCUCCCGUGGCACUGGGCCAGAAACCGCUAGUGCGGUCCGCUCCAGGGCCUGCCUUCGGGAGGAAGCGGUCUCCAGAUGAUAAUUAGGGCCACCUCCCUGGGCUCAGGUGCUCUGUACCUGGAGAUGCGGCGCUUUCUUCCCGGCCGCCUCACCUGGCUUCGGGUGCCACCUUAUCCAACUGAUCAAAUUUAACAUUAGUACAGGAUAAACUCAUAUCAUGUGGAUGCUGGUGUGAUCCACCAAGAAGAGAGAGAGAGAUCACAAGUAGGCAGAGAGAGAGGGG